ACAUGCAACAAGCGACUUGUUAGGGGAGGAGGAGAGUAUUUUCUCCAUCUCUGUGCCCUCCAUGGAGGCUCCAAGGGUGCAGGGCACCGGAUGAGUGCGGCUGGGAUCUGGCGGCCACCUGCACCUGCGUAUCUCUCGGGCCGCCCUUCCCGAGGGGCUCCCCGAGGCCUCCCGCCUUCACCGGGCUCUGUUCCGGCUGUCUCCGACGGCCUCAAGGUCGUGGGACGUGACACGACUGCUGCGGCGUCAGCUCAGCCUUGCAAGACCCCAGGCGCCCGCGCUGCACCUGCGACU
rnacentral:sRNA from 1 species